CCUACGGGGGGCAGCAGUGGGGAAUAUUGGACAAUGGGGGGAACCCUGAUCCAGCCAUGCCGCGUGUGUGAAGAAGGCCCUCGGGUUGUAAAGCACUUUCAGUGAGGAAGAACGCCUGGUGGUUAAUACCCAUCAGGAAAGACAUCACUCACAGAAGAAGCACCGGCUAACUCCGUGCCAGCAGCCGCGGUAAUACGGAGGGUGCGAGCGUUAAUCGGAAUUACUGGGCGUAAAGCGCGCGUAGGUGGCUUGAUAAGCCGGUUGUGAAAGCCCCGGGCUCAACCUGGGAACGGCAUCCGGAACUGUCAAGCUAGAGUGCAGGAGAGGAAGGUAGAAUUCCCGGUGUAGCGGUGAAAUGCGUAGAGAUCGGGAGGAAUACCAGUGGCGAAGGCGGCCUUCUGGACUGACACUGACACUGAGGUGCGAAAGCGUGGGUAGCAAACAGGAUUAGAUAUCCUUGUAGUC
rnacentral:rRNA from 1 species